rnacentral:rRNA from 1 species
AUUGAACGCUAGCGGCAUGCCUUACACAUGCAAGUCGAACGGCAGCGCGGGAGCAAUCCUGGCGGCGAGUGGCGAACGGGUGAGUAAUGCAUCGGAACGUGCCCAUCGAUGGGGAUAACUGCGCGAAAGCGUUGCUAAUACCGCAUACGACCUACGGGUGAAAGCAGGGGACCGCAAGGCCUUGCGUCGAUGGAGCGGCCGAUGUCGGAUUAGCUAGUUGGUGAGGUAAAGGCUUACCAAGGCGACGAUCCGUAGCUGGUCUGAGAGGACGACCCAGCCACACUGGGACUGAGACACGGCCCAGACUCCUACGGGAGGCAGCAGUGGGGAAUCUUGGACAAUGGGCGCAAGCCUGAUCCAGCAAUGCCGCGUGUGGGAAGAAGGCCUUCGGGUUGUAAACCACUUUUGGCAGGAAAGAAAUCGUCCGGGCCAAUACCCUGGAUGGAUGACGGUACCUGCAGAAUAAGCACCGGCUAACUACGUG